AGGAAAAGCCUCUAAGCAUCAGGUAACAUCAAAUCGUACCCCAAACCGACACAGGUGGUCAGGUAGAGAAUACCAAGGCGCUUGAGAGAACUCGGGUGAAGGAACUAGGCAAAAUGGUGCCGUAACUUCGGGAGAAGGCACGCUGGUGUGUAGGUGAAGUCCCUGCGGAUGGAGCUGAGACCAGUCGAAGAUACCAGCUGGCUGCAACUGUUUAUUAAAAACACAGCACUGUGCAAACACGAAAGUGGACGUAUACGGUGUGACGCCUGCCCGGUGCCGGAAGGUUAA
rnacentral:rRNA from 1 species